GACGAACGCUGGCGGCGUGCUUAACACAUGCCAGUCGAACGGAAAGGCCCUGCUUUUGUGGGGUGCUCGAGUGGCGAACGGGUGAGUAACACGUGAGUAACCUGCCCUUGACUUUGGGAUAACUUCAGGAAACUGGGGCUAAUACCGGAUAGGAGCUCCCGCUGCAUGGUGGGGGUUGGAAAGUUUCGGCGGUUGGGGAUGGACUCGCGGCUUAUCAGCUUGUUGGUGGGGUAGUGGCUUACCAAGGCUUUGACGGGUAGCCGGCCUGAGAGGGUGACCGGCCACAUGGGGACUGAGAUACGGCCCAGACUCGUACGGGAGGCAGCAGUGGGGAAUAUUGCACAAUGGGCGGAAGCCUGAUGCAGCAACGCCGCGUGCGGGAUGACGGCCUUCGGGUUGUAAACCGCUUUCGCCUGUGACGAAGCGUGAGUGACGGUAAUGGGUAAAGAAGCACCGGCUAACUACGUG
rnacentral:rRNA from 1 species